AAUUUAACUUCAUCAACAUUUUGUUAUUUGCUUUGGAGAGGUCAACAACCACAAAUACCAUAUUGAUUGUACCUUUUAUAAUGGAUUGAUCGUUAUUGAACCGUCUAGGAUGCAAUUGACGGCUAUCCAGCGACAACACCGAGAACACGACACCCAUUCUACAAAUGAAUCAUCCGGUUGACAAUGGUGCCUGUCUGAGUGC